AUAGUAUAUGACUUUUAAUUGCAGGUAGUCCAAGUGUUGCUCCGACUGAAGAUCUUACAGUUGAAGAGUUACCACCAAGACUCUUUGCUCUAGACCGGUACCCUUCCGAGACGAAGAUGAACGCGUACUCUAAACCGGAGUACAAUUCUGACAUAGCAAAUGUACUAAAGGGGAAACCAGAGAUGCAGUUUCUUCUAGAUUCUCCAUUUGGGGAACUUUUUAAAAUACCCAAAAACAAGGCAUCUUUCAAUGCUAAGCUUGUCCUUGGACUAAUAUGCCGUCAGUUAGUGACAAAGAAGGUGAACGAGAUGUGGAUUGUAUUCGGCGGUCAUCCAAUCAGAUUUGGAUUAAGAGAAUUUAGUAUCCUAACUGGGCUGGAAUGUGGGAAGUAUCUCAAGAAGAAAGACGUUGAUGAUGUUAUCAGUGUGAAACCUGAGUGUGAGAGUGUUUGGAAGACUCUGUUUGAUAAGAGGUUUGGGGACACGGUUCCAACAAUUGCUGAUUUGGUGAGCUGGCUGCAGGAGGAGGAAAGCAUGGAGGGGUGGAAGCAACUGGCACUAUCUCUUAUUAUUUUGGUUGACGGUGUGGUAGCGGCCCACAGUAACCCCAACAGGCCUACUUCGAAGACUGUCGAGAUGACUAAGAACCUGGAGUUCUUCUGCAAAUACCCAUGGGGAAGGGUGUCCUUUACCCGUACUUUGGGGAGGAUAGCAAAUUUCCAAACUCCUUACGAUGCUCAACAACUAAUAAGGGGUUUACUUGUAGGGUCUUAUGCAAUCCAUGGCUUCCCAUUAGCUCUCCAGCUUUUAGCUUUCGAAACAAUCCCAUCAAUUGCUAAGCUAGGACCUGAUGAUGUACCUAACAGGACAUUUGCUGAGAGGUCUAUCCAUCGUCUUGCCUCUCUGCGAGCAAUCCGGACAUCUCGCAUUUUGGAGUGUGAGGCUGCUGAUGAGGUGUGUUAAAUUGUGUAUGUACGUACAUAAUAAGUAAAUGUACAUUAUCUAUGGUUAACAUACUUAUUUGUGUACGUUGAGGUCAACUAUAUUGUGAAACCAGCUGAUAAUGUUUGUCCUCCAUCUCUUUCAUGGGAUGAUGAAGUUGAUGAUCCAAGGGUUGAUUACAUUGAGGCACUGUUGAUAGAUGGGCACCAGUGGCAGGAGGAUGAAUGGGUUGGAGGCUAUGCUAGAGUACCAAAGCAGUUGCGCCCACCACAACUAGAAGAGACAGGUAAGUAUAAGUAUAAAGGUUGUUUACAAAAUUUUUUGGUAUUGCACCCAGAAGAAAACCAAUUAAUAGCAGCAACUGGUCUAUUGUAGAUGUUAAGAGGAAACGAAAUGCACCGGGCCCGAGCCCUAAAGAACCUGCUAUGAAAAAACAGAAAUCUAAAAUGGACUGUGAUAAAGAAGAGAAUGCUGAGGAUUGUUUUGGAGAGCCUGUGCCUGAGAGGUUUAUUGUUGAAAUGAGGAGGUCUUUCAAGGAGCUGGAAGACCAAAUGUAUCAAAUGCAUGAAGAUAUGAAAGACUUUGUCCGUGACCAGAUACGUGCUGCCCUUGAUCCAAAAGGCAAAAGGCCAGAACAAACCAUACCUUCCCAUGAUUCGCGGGAACCACCUACUUCUAUGGAUAAGGCACCGGUUACUACGAAGAAGCCAUCGAGAAGGAUGUCUACAAAAGGAAGCACUGGAACGAGAAAGUCUUCAAGGCUGACUCGUGUAUCUCAUGAUGUGGACACUCCUGCACUUUCUGUUGGCUGUAAUUCCAAAGAGGAAGAUUUGGAUGUCCCUGGAGUACAUACCACUGCUGUCGGCGGAAGAAGAAAACCUUCAAAGCCGAAGAAAAAUGUUUCUUUUGCUGUUGACACUACUGAGCUACCUGAUUCCAAUAAGGAAGAUAUGCAAGGAUUCAUUGAUGAACAGGUAAGUCAUGUACGUACAUUGCUAAAUAUUUUAUAAUCCAUAUGUAUAACUGUACUGUCUGCUUCGAUACAGUAUGGCGCUAAUAAUGAAAGUGAUUUUACUGCAAAUGAUGGAUUGGAUUCUUCGGCCGCUGAAGAAGAGAUAUUAGACACUGGAUUUUUAAUAGUUCCUUAUGCUGGAUCCACACAAUCCCAUCUGGUAUGUCGUCUACUAAUACUCUUAACAAUCUGUUUAAAUGGUGUACGUACAUAUUCGCUUAAGAAGUUAGUUAAACUAUGUUUCAGGAUAGAGGAAAUAUUGUUGUUGGUAAGAGUGUCUUCUUAGGUUCAAUGUCUGGGACUGUCUAUGUUACAUAGGAAGAGAGGCCUGUGGAAGAAGCUACUGUUGACACCGAGAUGGAAGAAGUUCCAUCUAAUGUGUCUGCAAGAGUUUCAGAUGUAGAUCUUCUGGUAAUCGUUAUAUACAGAUUUCCAUGACUAUAUUCAUAUAUAUUACAUUAAUUUCUCCACUUAUCUAACGCUUAACUCUAUGGUAGCCUAUGUUUCAGGAUAAUGGACCAAAGGAUGUUGCUGAACCUGGCUUAGUUGGUACCCAUACAGGGGCCGAUGAAAUAGCUGAUGCUGACAUAGAGAUGGUAGACAAUCCAUCAGGUUUACCUUCAACAUCUGCAUAGGUAUGUGUUAGUCACUUGUUCUUUUUCCAUAUGUGUACGCCCAUAAGACUUUGCAAAUUAUUUUUGUUUCAGGAAGAAGCAAGAGAUGCCAGUGCAUCGACUGAAGCUAAUGGCAGCGAGUCAGAAGAAACUUAUGAGCCUUCUGAUGGAGAUACAGCUCACGUACCUGGCACAAGUGUACGUACAUUUUUGUCACUAUGUUCUGUGUACAUAUAUAUUGUUUCAUACAUUACUAAAAAAUUUCUUUCCGAUGAUAAAUUCUACAGGUUGAGGCGGCAGGAGAAUCCAAAUUAGUGACAGGGAUGGAAGUUGAAAUACCUGAGAAGACCCACAGUGAUCCCCCCUCACCAUUUCAAGUAGUUAACAAUGUAAGCUAACUCUUGCAACAAAUAAAAUGUACUAUUUACUGUUCAAAUGUAUAAAAUUUAUAUUAUGCAGGUCAUACGGGAGUUAGAUACCAAAGCCGUUGGUGAUUUGGCUGCAGCUACUAAUGUGGAGGUAACAAUUUGUGUGUUUCAAUUCCUAUUUUCGGAAUAGCAUGCAUAGGAUUAUAUGUGUACAUUAUAUAGACUUGUGUACGUUAACUUGCACAGGUAGUCAUGGAAGAGCCGGGUAUUGUCGAGGGGUCUGUAGGAACUGAGGAUCCUAACCCAGGGUCAGAUGAAGCAGACAAGACCGAUAUUCCUAAAAAUAAUGUAUGUACCUAUUUUAAACAUAGAAAAACGUAUGAAACUGUUGUUGACAAUCAUAUUUGUUAACAGGAUGAAUCAGACAAUGCUGCUGUUGUCGAAGCAAAAGAAGAAAAAAA
rnacentral:sRNA from 1 species